AAGCGCCUAUGACCAGACUUGGGCCCGGUGAAUCAUCCAGCGUUCUCGCUGGUGCACUUUGCCGGGCACAGGCCAGCAUCAGUUUGGCCCGGGGGAGAAAGGCUUUGGGAACGUAGCUCCUCGGAGUGUUAUAGCCCUUUGCACAAUACCCUGGGCCGGACUGAGGACCGCGCAUCUGCAAGGAUGCUGGCGUAAUGGUCAUCAGCGA
rnacentral:rRNA from 1 species